rnacentral:rRNA from 1 species
UACAGAGGAGCCAAGCGUUGUCCGGAUUGACUGGGCGUAAAGCGCACGCAGGCGGACGCGCGCGUGGGGUGUGAAAUCUGGCCGCUUAACGGCCAGGCGCCAUCCCAUACGGCGCGUCUGGAGUGAUGCAGAGGUCGGUGGAAUUGCCGGUGUAGUGGUGAAAUGCGUAGAGAUCGGCAGGAACACCCAGGGGGAAAGCAGCCGACUGGGCCUCUACUGACGCUGAGGUGCGAGAGCGUGGGGAGCGAACCGG